UGUUCUUCAUUUUUUUUGAUAUAAAUUCCAGUGAUCACCAUUACGUACCAGAGAAAAACAGUAGGUUCACUUACCAGUUAGGGAAAAAAAAUGAAGAACAAGAAAUGGACAACUCACUGAAUCUAAAUAAGAGUUUACCAUGAUGACAUAUCAUCUGAAUAUGCAGUAAACUACGCAGAACAUCUUCUAAUUCUCUUGUUAGAUCUCCCACUUUCAUAAGGCUUGCUGCCAGUGAAGCAGUCAUCAUCACGGCCUCUCUUAUUGUUUGUAUCUUCCCUCGUUAGCACCCAACAAUCUUCGCUUACUGCUGUAAAAUUCUUGUCAGCAGUUUUAACCUGACUUUCAUUUGUUUCCUCACUGUAGAGUAGAUGGACGCCGCAUUUCUUCAUGUUGAUGAGCUUGUUUGAAUGGUCUGAAGCAAGGAAUUCGAACGAAGCCUGAUAAUAUUUAUUAAACCCAUUAUCCCCUUUGGCUGACUCAGUUUCCCAGGAGUUAAACCAUAGGAAAAUAUUAUCUGAAUUGAGGAUCUCUUCAUUUCCUGCCCAAUAAUGGGAUGUGAAAAAGCGAUCGUCAGAUUCACCCUUCACAGCUUUCAAAUGACACUUGCAACAAACAUUUCUGACCGCAGAGGGGAUUUCACAGCUAAUAACAACACAAAAAGAAAUUCCCAGGAGUGGACGACCAUUUGAUGACAACAUUAAUGUUAAUGAUGAUCCUGUAUCUUUCUUACAGAACCAUUCGGGAAUUUCACCCCCUGGAUAGCGGAGACUCUGAUAGCGCUUAUUGUCAUCGUCUUGCUUUGAGGCUGUUGCCAUAUGCAGAAUGCUCCCUUGAGCAUCUUCCACUAUGUUGUUGGUUUCCGUUUGAUUUAAUGUGAAGCAAUUAGCAAAAUCCCAACACUCAAUGUUUGGCUCCCACAAACUUUUUAUGCGUGGUACAAUUUCUAAUGAUGUGCAGUGGCAUGCCUUCAGAACUUUUAUGCAUGGGGGAAUCUCCAGUAAGUACAUAAGCCUCUUGCAAUGGCUUAGGUUCAGAAGUUUCAGUUUUGAUAGAAUUUUGAAGGUUGCAGGUAGGCUCUGAAAAUUAUUUUUGCUGAGAUCUAAAUCCUCCAAUGAGGGUAAAUCACUCAGGUUGCUAGGGAAUUCUGACAGAUCACAGCUGCUUAAAUCUAGGCUUUGUAGACAAGGGAGAGAUUUCAAGUUAUGGAAACCCUCAAGUUCUGAGCAGCCAGAGAGAGAAAGUCUUCUAAGGCAUCCCAACUUGCAGAUGCCAUUCGGGAAACUUUUAAGCCUUUUGCAGUUCGACAGAUUUAAUGCAGAAAGUCUUGAGAGAGUGCAAAUCGCUGAGGGCACUUCUUCAAUUGCAGUAUUACUCAAGUCUAAACAUUCCACAUUUUGAGGGAUCUCUGGAAUCUUUGUGAUAUUUAAGCAUCCAGAGAGAAACAUAUCGCUAAGAGAUGUUAACUUAGCAAUGCUGCUUGGAAGUUUCUUGAGCCUUGUGCAGUUUUUUUAGGUAUAAAUGAG
rnacentral:misc_RNA from 1 species